AUUGAAUAUUGUUUGUCCAGAAUAUCAGUAUGAGCACCAUUGUUAUUGUAACACAACUGAAUAUGAUGCCAUGUUCAGCAAGAAGUUUUGCAGAGAAAAACCUAUGAUAUUUCUAAAUGCUUCUAUUACAGCAGCCAGCAGUUUGGUAGCACUGUUGUACUUGAUUAUGUCCUUAAUGAAACCCCACAAAGCAUUAUCUGGAACACACAAAUCAGGACUCUAUGAUGGACAGGCCAGGGGAGCUUGUGCUUCCUCCAAUCUGUAUCUAGCUGAUUUGUUUGAAAAAAUUCCUAAACUCUGAUAGCAAAAUGUGCAGGGACUCUAUCUUGUAGCAGGAUUAUGGCAGCUGCUAUUUCAAUUGCCA
rnacentral:lncRNA from 1 species